rnacentral:rRNA from 1 species
UCCGUAGCUGGACUCUUAAGUCUCUUGGGAAAUCCGCCGGCUUAACCGACGGGCGUCUAAGAGAUACUGGGAGUCUAGGGACCGGGAGAGGUGAGAGGUACUCCGGGGGUAGGAGUGAAAUCCUGUAAUCCCCGGGGGACCACCGAUGGCGAAGGCAUCUCACCAGAACGGCUCCGACAGUGAGGGACGAAAGCUGGGGGAGCGAACAGGAUUAGAUACCCUGGUAGUCC